UACAGGGGGGGCAAGCGUUGUUCGGAAUUACUGGGCGUAAAGGGCUCGUAGGCGGCCAACUAAGUCACACGUGAAAUCCCCAGGCUUAACCUGGGAACUGCGUGUGAUACUGGAUGGCUUGAAUUCGGGAGAGGGAUGCAGAAUUCCAGGUGUAGCGGUGAAAUGCGUAGAUAUCUGGAGGAAUACCGGUGGCGAAGGCGGCAUCCUGGACCGACAUUGACGCUGAGGAGCGAAAGCUAGGGGAGCGAACAGG
rnacentral:rRNA from 1 species